UACGGAAGGCAGCAGUGGGGAAUAUUGCACAAUGGGCGCAAGCCUGAUGCAGCCAUGCCGCGUGUAUGAAGAAGGCCUUCGGGUUGUAAGGUACUUUCAGCGGGGAGGAAGGCGGUGGAGUUAAUAGCUUCACCGAUUGACGUUACCCGCAGAAGAAGCACCGGCUAACUCCGUGCCAGCAGCCGCGGUAAUACGGAGGGUGCAAGCGUUAAUCGGAAUUACUGGGCGUAAAGCGCACGCAGGCGGUCUGUCAAGUCGGAUGUGAAAUCCCCGGGCUUAACCUGGGAACUGCAUUCGAAACUGGCAGGCUAGAGUCUUGUAGAGGGGGUAGAAUUCCAGGUGUAGCGGUGAAAUGCGUAGAGAUCUGGAGGAAUACCGGUGGCGAAGGCGGCCCCUGGGACAAGACUGACGCUCAGGUGCGAAAGCGUGGGGAGCAAACGAGGAUUAGGAUACCCGGU
rnacentral:rRNA from 1 species